GAAAUAGACAUCUAGGGUUCCGGCUGCUGCGCAGUGUCUGGGUCGAGAGUUGUCAACCUCGCAAGGGGUCACACGGAGGGAUAGAAGCCCGGGAGAU
rnacentral:sRNA from 2 species